GCUGCUGGAGUCGUGAGCCGUGUCUUUUGGAGAUGGCAACACAAGUACUGAAAAUCCAAGCGGAUGGGAAUUGCCCGAAUUGCCCCGUUCUUCCAGGUCAACGUCGGCGGAAUGGUGUUAUUCUAUGCCAAAAUGAAGCAGCGCAGGAACUACAA
rfam:Aedes aegypti strain Liverpool supercont1.22 genomic scaffold, whole genome shotgun sequence.